rnacentral:lncRNA from 1 species
AUUCAUAUUCUGUUUAGGUUAUAAAAAGACAAUUUGAAGGAGUACAAUCCAAGAGAUGAAGCACCAAUUCCAUGAAAUGAUACUGGUUGGCACAGGAAUAAGGAUCUUAAAGCUUUAAAGAAUUUAAUAUCACAAGAAAUUCAAGUUACAGAAAUUUUCUGUAUUAACAUACAGUACUUCAUGAAUAAAUAUCUUAAGCAAAUUGAUAUGAGAAGUGGGGUUUAACCUGGUUUUAUUUGGGAGUUGCAGUGACAUUUCGAAGGAUCAAAGGAAAUCUCCAGUUUGCUCAUCAAGAAACUAUAAAUUCGAUUAUAUAUAAACAAUGUAAGUCAUUCACAUGAUCAGAUGGUUUUACAGGAUGGUUUUAAGAAUUUGGGGAGACUGUGAUGGGUUAAGAUAGAGGAGGAAAGGGAGUUAAAGGGCAUAGUGCAAUAAAAUAAAUGAGAAUGGUUAAUAGGUAAUAUUGCACCACUUGGUACUGGAAAACUUCCAAAAGGUAGCAAGCUCGCUUCAGGAUCUCUUCAAAAACUCAUCUUGCACCCGAUUCGUAAAUGUUUCCUUAUUCACUUUUUUUAGAGUAAAAAUGCUUCACUGCAUCUGCACCUAUAUCCACUCCCACAACUGGACAUGCUUUUGGUAGUUAAGUUGCAGCCUCCAUAUUAUUUAGCUGCCACAAG